CAGGUCCACUGACCCUCCUCACAGUCACACCUGUGGGCCGGCUCCGGGCUCGUGCCCAGGGAGAUGCACGGAGGUGGCCCCAAGGCUUCCAUCUGAGCCACGCUGACCGGCAGGCUUGAGGAAGAUUCUAGAAGCAACAGUCCGAUUUGGACAAGCUCAGGGCGGGCGAGCAGGCAGUUUCUCAGACCCCAGAGUUUAGGUACUGGGGCUGGGGUGGGCGUCAGGCGGGAGCUGGGCACCUGGUGAGCUUGGCGGUCUCCAAACAGGUGCCUUGAGCCGAAUAAGGAGGCAGAGACGUCUGAGGAGCAGCCAGGGGUGAGGACACGUCCGCUCUCCGUGUGCCUCGUUUGCACACACACGUUGGUGCCUGGCAGUUGGGGGACCCUUGCCACCGCGGCCUGGCCUCCCGCCCGCUCGCCGCCAGCCCUGCCUGUGCCCUCACCUUGCCCAGCGGAAGGGGUCACCCAGCCAGACCCUACCUGGUGGCCUGAAAGCGUGGGCAGGAAGGCCGGUCUGGCCCAGGCCUGGGGGGUCUGCCUCUGGAGCACAGGUCCUGGGGGAAGGGCCGACCCUCGUGCCCAAACACCCAGCGAGGGGCCCGGUGCCUGGGCGACUCCUCCGGCCCGAACGCGGGGCUCAGGGGCCUCGGCGGGUGCCGCGCACCCUUGACCCCGCUGCCCAGGAGCAGGCGUCCUCUUGGCCCGGAUGUCCCAGGUGGUCGGAGGAUCGCUGGAAGCCUCGGGGCACCCCGUGGGCCUCUGAUGUCUGGCUGCAGGGCCAGCACCCGCCUCCACGCCACGAGGCCGUGCUCAGCCCAACACCGAGAGAAACUGGCCGCAGCGGCCGGGAAGUGUCUACCGUCAAACGUCGUGCACGGAAUCGUGACAGCAAAGUAACUACAGAGUGAUAAAAGGUAAAGCAAAUAUUAUCCAGGAGGAGCAAGAGCCGCGAUGACACUGUUUAUGUGAAUGUUUCCCUGGACGGAAGAGGCCAAAGUGGCAGCCUGCCCGCCACCCCCCGACCCUGCGCCCAGCUGGUGACCCCGCGACCCCCGCCCCCAAGUGGAUCCUGACCAGAGCUGCCAGGUCCUCGCCAACCCGCACCCCCCCAGCCAGGGCUCGACACGCGAGC
rnacentral:lncRNA from 12 species